rnacentral:rRNA from 1 species
GACGAACGCUGGCGGCGUGCUUAACACAUGCAAGUCGAACGGAAAGGCCCUGCUUUUGUGGGGUGCUCGAGUGGCGAACGGGUGAGUAACACGUGAGUAACCUGCCCUUGACUUUGGGAUAACUUCAGGAAACUGGGGCUAAUACCGGAUAGGAGCUCCUGCUGCAUGGUGGGGGUUGGAAAGUUUCGGCGGUUGGGGAUGGACUCGCGGCUUAUCAGCUUGUUGGUGGGGUAGUGGCUUACCAAGGCUUUGACGGGUAGCCGGCCUGAGAGGGUGACCGGCCACAUUGGGACUGAGCUACGGCCCAGACUCCUACGGGAGGCAGCAGUGGGGAAUAUUGCACGAUGGGCGGAAGCCUGAUGCAGCAACGCCGCGUGCGGGAUGGCGGCCUUCGGGUUGUAAACCGCUUUCGCCUGUGACGAAGCGUGAGUGACGGUAAUGGGUAAAGAAGCACCGGCUAACUACGUG